UACGAAGGGGGCUAGCGUUGCUCGGAAUCACUGGGCGUAAAGCGCACGUAGGCGGAUUGUUAAGUCAGGGGUGAAAUCCUGGAGCUCAACUCCAGAACUGCCUUUGAUACUGGCGAUCUUGAGUCCGGGAGAGGUGAGUGGAACUGCGAGUGUAGAGGUGAAAUUCGUAGAUAUUCGCAAGAACACCAGUGGCGAAGGCGGCUCACUGGCCCGGAACUGACGCUGAGACGCGAAAGCGUGGGGAGCAACAGG
rnacentral:rRNA from 1 species